rnacentral:rRNA from 1 species
GACGAACGCUGGCAGCGUGCCUAAUACAUGCAAGUCGAGCGGGAAUUACUUUAUUGAAGCUUCGGUCGAUUUAAUUUAAUUCUAGUGGCGGACGGGUGAGUAACGCGUGGGUAACCUGCCUUGUACAGGGGGAUAACAGUCAGAAAUGGCUGCUAAUACCGCAUAAGCGCACAGAGCUGCAUGGCUCAGUGUGAAAAACUCCGGUGGUAUAAGAUGGACCCGCGUUGGAUUAGCUAGUUGGUGGGGUAACGGCCCACCAAGGCGACGAUCCAUAGCCGGCCUGAGAGGGUGAACGGCCACAUUGGGACUGAGACACGGCCCAG